rnacentral:rRNA from 1 species
AUACGGAGGGUGCAAGCGUUACUCGGAAUUACUGGGCGUAAAGGGCGCGUAGGCGGUCUAUCAAGUCAGGUGUGAAAUCCCACGGCUCAACCGUGGAGGUGCAUCUGAAACUGAUAGACUUGAGUAUGGGAGAGGAAAGUGGAAUUCCCGGUGUAGAGGUGAAAUUCGUAGAUAUCGGGAGGAACACCAGUGGCGAAGGCGACUUUCUGGACCAAUACUGACGCUGAGGCGCGAAAGCGUGGGGAGCAAACAGGAUUAGAAACCCUAGUAGUCC